GAUGAACGCUGGCGGCGUGCCUAAUACAUGCAAGUCGAGCGAACAGACGAGGAGCUUGCUCCUCUGACGUUAGCGGCGGACGGGUGAGUAACACGUGGAUAACCUACCUAUAAGACUGGGAUAACUUCGGGAAACCGGAGCUAAUACCGGAUAAUAUAUUGAACCGCAUGGUUCAAUAGUGAAAUACGGUUUUGCUGUCACUUAUAGAUGGAUCCGCGCCGCAUUAGCUAGUUGGUAAGGUAACGGCUUACCAAGGCAACGAUGCGUAGCCGACCUGAGAGGGUGGUCGGCGACACGGGAACGGAGACACGGACCAGACUCCUAAGGGAGGCAGCAGUAGGGAAUCUGCCGCAAUGGGCGAAAGCCUGACGGAGCAACGGCGCGUGAGUGAUGAAGGUCUUCGGAGCGUAAAACUCCGUUAUUAGGGAAGAACAAAUGUGUAAGUAACUAUGCACGUCUUGACGGUACCUAAUCAGAAAGCCACGGCUAACUACGUG
rnacentral:rRNA from 1 species